UACGGGGGGGGUAAGCGUUGUUCGGAAUUAUUGGGCGUAAAGAGCUCGUAGGCGGUUCGUCGCGUCGGCUGUGAAAACCCGGAGCUCAACUCCGGGCCUGCAGUCGAUACGGGCGGACUCGAGUUCGGCAGGGGAGACUGGAAUUCCUGGUGUAGCGGUGAAAUGCGCAGAUAUCAGGAGGAACCCCAAUGGCGAAGGCAGCUCGCUGGGACGGUACUGACGCUGAGACGCGAAAGCGUGGGGAGCAAACAGG
rnacentral:rRNA from 1 species